rnacentral:rRNA from 1 species
GCACUCGAACUUUUAAAGCCCCGCAAGGGUAUGCUGAGAGAUGGGCUUGCGGCACAUUAGUUAGUUGGUAAGGUAAUGGCUUACCAAGACUAUGAUGUGUAGCUGGACUGAGAGGUUGAACGGCCACAUUGGGACUGAGAUACGGCCCAAACUCCUACGGGAGGCAGCAGUAAGGAAUUUUCGGCAAUGGAGGAAACUCUGACCGAGCAACGCCGCGUGAACGAUGAAGUAUUUAGGUACGUAAAGUUCUUUUAUUAAAGAAGAAAAAAUGAUGGAAAAAUCAUUCUGACGGUAUUUAAUGAAUAAGCCCCGGCUAACUAUGUGCCAGCAGCUGCGGUAAUACAUGGGGGGCAAGCGUUAUCCGGAUUUAUUGGGCGUAAAGGGUGCGUAGGCGGUUAAAUAAGUCUAUGGUAUAAGUUCAACGCUUAACGUUGUGAUGCUAUAGAAACUGUUUGACUAGAGUUGGAUAGAGGCAAGUGGAAUUCCAUGUGUAGCGGUAAAAUGCGUAAAUAUAUGGAGGAACACCAGUAGCGAAGGCGGCUUGCUGGGUCUUAACUGACGCUGAGGCACGAAAGCGUGGGGAGCAAACAGGAUUAGAUACCCUGGUAGUCCACGCCGUAAACGAUGAGUACUAAGUGUUGGGUUAAACCAGUGCUGAAGUUAACACAUUAAGUACUCCGCCUGAGUAGUACGUACGCAAGUAUGAAACUUAAAGGAAUUGACGGGACUCCGCACAAGCGGUGGAUCAUGUUGUUUAAUUCGAAGAUACACGAAAAACCUUACCAGGUCUUGACAUACUCUGCAAAGCUAUAGAAAUAUAGUGGAGGUUAUCAGGGAUACAGGUGGUGCAUGGUUGUCGUCAGCUCGUGUCGUGAGAUGUUGGGUUAAGUCCCGCAACGAGCGCAACCCUUAUCACUAGUUACCAUCAUUUAGUUGGGCACUUUAGUGAGACUGCCAAUGAUAAAUUGGAGGAAGGUGGGGAUUACGUCAAAUCAUCAUGCCCCUUAUGACCUGGGCUACAAACGUGAUACAAUGGCUGUUACAAAGAGUAGCUGAAACGUGAGUUUUUAGCAAAUCUCAAAAAAACAGUCUCAGUUCGGAUUGAAGUCUGCAACUCGACUUCAUGAAGUCGGAAUCGCUAGUAAUCGCGAAUCAGCAUGUCGUGGUGAA